rnacentral:rRNA from 1 species
CAGUAGCCGCGGUAAAACGAAGGGGGCUAGCGUUGCUCGGAAUGACUGGGCGUAAAGGGCGCGUAGGCGGAUUGUUUAGUUAGGCGUGAAAUUCCUGGGCUUAACCUGGGGACUGCGCUUAAUACAGGCAGUCUAGAGUGAGGAAGAGGGUUGUGGAAUUCCCAGUGUAGAGGUGAAAUUCGUAGAUAUUGGGAAGAACACCGGUGGCGAAGGCGGCAACCUGGUCCUUGACUGACGCUGAGGCGCGAAAGCGUGGGGAGCAAACAGGAUUAGAUACCCGCGUAGUCCCUGUCUCUUAUAC